UACGAAGGGGGCUAGCGUUGCUCGGAAUUACUGGGCGUAAAGCGCACGUAGGCGGUCUUUUAAGUCGGGGGUGAAAUCCUGGAGCUCAACUCCAGAACUGCCUUCGAUACUGGAAGACUCGAGUCCGGGAGAGGUGAGUGGAACUGCGAGUGUAGAGGUGAAAUUCGUAGAUAUUCGCAAGAACACCAGUGGCGAAGGCGGCUCACUGGCCCGGAACUGACGCUGAGGUGCGAAAGCGUGGGGAGCAAACAGG
rnacentral:rRNA from 1 species